rnacentral:misc_RNA from 1 species
ACAAAUUUCUAACCUAAAAUGUCAAUAAUCAUAGUAGGAAAAUAUUUGUAUACACGAUGUUGGUAAUCCUUGUGCAGCUUUUGUUUUCACCAGUUGAGUUAUUUAUUGUGUAAUACGUUCGUUACAGGAAGAACGACCUCCGCCACGACCGAAUGGUUAAAGCGUGGCAUUUCGUUCGACAUCGUAUUCGAUAACAAAACAACUGAUAAGCUUUUUAUAAUGCUAGAUAUACGUUUGUGCAUCGUCGAAUAUAUGAUGAUCGUGAGUGUUUUCCGACGUAUUUUGCGGCAGUUUUAUUUCGGUUCGUGUUAACUUUAGUAGAACGGAAUGUUGGAGUCGCGUGCGUUGUUCUGUUUUAUUAAUUAGCUAACUAGCUAAAACUGUGCUAUAAGAAAACAUUGAUUGAUGUACCUCUAAACUAACAUUGUAGUGUUUUACGUUGUGUUGUUUACGACGAGGAUUGGCCAGAGCAGUGACGACUGCUUGUUGUGUACUGGUUCAUCACCCUAGGCAGCGCUUGUAAUUUGUUAACAGUAUAAUACAAGCAUCGGUCCUUUGAGGUUUCGUAAUCCACAAAUAGAUAAUCCUAGUCGUUCAAGAUGGCAGCCUUUGUAGCCAAGCAAAUGGUAGGGAACAAGCUUAAUGCCGUUAAAGGAGCAGUUGGAGGAGAUGACGAUGGAGAUGAUAAGGAAAAAGAAGAGGAAGCAGAAAGAGAAAGGUUGGAAGCUAUCAGGGAAGCUGAAGAAAGGAGAAAGGAGAAGCAUAGAAAAAUGGAGGAAGAAAGAGAAAAGAUGAGGCAAGAGAUCAGAGACAAGUACAACAUUAAAAAAAAAGAAGAAGUUCAAGAAACUGCUCAAGAGGAACCAAAUCCUUUAAUGCGUAAAAAAAAGACUCCCGAAGAACUUGCGAGAGAGGCUGAACUAGAAGACGAAGACGACUUCACAAAAUUGAAGAACACGAUAGAAACACAAGUAAACGAACUCAAGUCUCAAAUAGAAAGUAAGUGCGUUAUGCAAUGAAUUUGGGGACAUCUUGGCAUUUUCUGCGCGGCGUCGGUCUUCUCAAUAAGCAGGGCUCCGAACCCUGCUCCCACACUAUCUCCCAACACCACUACAAGCCUCAACCAAUACUAAUUACGUCUAACAAUACUAAUUAACAAAUUAAUCCAUUUUCUUCUGCCCAUCUCAAAAAUAACGUAAAAGUCAGCUUGGUUUUUCAUUUGUUCUUGUUGUAUACAUUGUUAAUAGAAAAAAACAACAAAAGACUAUCGGCGAAUUCUUCUCAACUUAAAUUUACUCCAAAAAAAAAAUAACAAAAUAAACAAAUUAGGUGUAAAAUAAUUAUUAAUUAAACAGCGGCGUUAAGUCUGGUUUAAGGUAGGGUAGUAGGUAAUUUACAUCAAUGUCGCGCAGUAACUGCCCAUUAUAAUGAUAAAGAGACUGCGAUACUUAAACAA